UCCAGGAAGUAGCCGAAAAAUUGUUUAUGGAAAAAUGGUGUUACGUCUAUGGUCUUAAAACUUGUUAGUCUCAAGACGUUGACUGAGCACUUAUUUCAAAUUACAUAACAUAAGUGUUUAACAUUGACAGUGCAAAGGACAUGUACGAUAAGUCGCCUUUAACGCUCAGCUAGCCUCCAUCGUCGAGGUUUUGGCGAAUGCAGCCGUUGCCGAAAUCUGCAAACUUGUAGAUGACGGACAUGCUGCCUUACGUUUGGAAAUUUCCCAUAGCCAGAGUGAAAUCGAUAACCUGCGGAGGAAGUUGCUGCUGACAAAAUUCCAGCAUUCUCGACGGAGCGCAGAGAAAUUCGGAACCCUCCGACACACUGUCAGCAGACGGGACACAGAUCUUGUUGCCGGGCAAGAGGGAGCUUCCAAGGAAAGUCAACAGGCAGACUUGGAUAUUUGGAGAAUCGCUGUGCCGACCGUAAAGGGUCAAUUUUACGCAGGAUGCCACCAACUGGAGAGACGCAGGACGCACAGCGACAGAUAAGGAUGGGGACAUGCGAUGGCAGAUAUGCAAGAGAUGCCUCUUAUCAAAAUGGAGAACCUUGACACCAGCAGCCCGGAAGGUAUUUUUGUUCAACUUAUCAAGU